rnacentral:rRNA from 1 species
UACGGAGGGUGCAAGCGUUGUCCGGAUUUAUUGGGUUUAAAGGGUGCGUAGGCGGCCCGUUAAGUCAGCGGUGAAAUCCCGGGGCUCAACCGCGGAACUGCCAUUGAUACUGGAAGGCUUGAGUACAGACGAGGUGGGCGGAAUUGAAGAUGUAGCGGUGAAAUGCUUAGAUAUCUUCAAGAACACCGAUUGCGUAGGCAGCUUACUAGGCUGUAACUGACGCUGAGGCACGAAAGCGUGGGGAGCGAACAGG